rnacentral:tRNA from 1 species
GCAUUGGUGGUUUAGUGGUAGAACUCUUACCUUCCAUGAAGGAGACCUGAGUUCGAUUCCUGGCCUAUGCA